UGUAAUGGAGUAUCAAUGAAUGGUUCCUCAUUUAUACGUUCCAAAACUCGCCUAUCAUCACGAAUUAAAGCAUAAAGGGCAUCAAUAUCUCCUACUUGAGCGGCCUGCUUCAUCCUCCGAUCAAUUUCUCGUACUUGAGCCGCCUGCAGAACAUUGAAAUUUUCUCGGAUUAGACGAUAAAAACCAUCGUUAUCUCCUGCUUGAGAGGCCUCCUUCAGCUUUUGACGAAUAUCUCCUACUUGCUGAACCUCCUCAAAAACAGUUGCAUCUUCCUGGAUUAGAAGACACAAGCCAUAAAUAUCUCCUGAUUGAGCUGCAUCCUUCAACCUCUGAUCCAUGCUUAGCAAAAUGACACACCCGAGCAGCUGAAAGGGAUAAAUUAUUAGAAAUGACUGUAAGGAGUAAG
rnacentral:misc_RNA from 1 species